rnacentral:rRNA from 1 species
CAUUAGUGUAUAUUUAUGCUGUUGCGGUUAAAACGCUCGUAGUCUAAUUUUUGGAGGCCUGCGGGUGUGUCUGGCAAGCUGCUAUGACCUCCCGCAACCUUCUUUUCUCCGGUAUGCGAAUUGUUGAGGAUUAACUUCCUCGCAAGCUCGUUAUCGGUCGUUCACCUUGAAUAAAUCAGAGUGUUCAAAUCAGGCGUUUCGCCAUUGAAUGCUUAAGCAUGGGAUGAUGGAAUAAGACUUGGUUCUUAUUUUGUUGGUUUUGUAAGAACAGAGUAAUGAUUAAUAGAAGUCAGCGGGGGCAUUUGUACUGAGUCGGAAGUGGUGAAAUACUCGGAUCGACUCAUGACAAACUUAGGCGAAAGCAUUUGCCCAGUGGAUUUUCAUUGAUCAAGAGCGAAAGUCGGGGGAUCGAAGAUGAUUAGAUACCAU